GACGAACGCUGGCGGCGUGCUUAACACAUGCAAGUCGAGCGGUAAGGCCCUUUCGGGGGUACGACGAGCGGCGAACGGGUGAGUAACACGUGGGUGACCUGCCCUCAGCUCUGGGAUAAGCCUGGGAAACCGGGUCUAAUACCGGAUAUGACUCCAUGACGCAUGUUGUGGGGUGGAAAGCCUUGUGCGGCUGAGGAUGGGCCCGCGGCCUAUCAGCUUGUUGGUGGGGUGAUGGCCUACCAAGGCGACGACGGGUAGCCGGCCUGAGAGGGCGACCGGCCACACUGGGACUGAGACACGGCCCAGACUCCUACGGGAGGCAGCAGUGGGGAAUCUUGCGCAAUGGGCAAAGCCUGACGCAGCGACGCCGCGUGAGGGAUGACGGCCUGUGU
rnacentral:rRNA from 1 species